UACGUAGGGACCGAGCGUUGUCCGGAUUCAUUGGGCGUAAAGAGCUCGUAGGCGGCCACUCAAGUCGAAUGUGAAACCUCGAGGCUUAACCUCGAGCCUGCAUUCGAUACUGGGCGGCUAGAGUCUGGUAGGGGGAUCUGGAAUUCCUGGUGUAGCGGUGGAGUGCGCAGAUAUCAGGAGGAACACCGGUGGUGAAGGCGGGAUCCUGGGCCAGUACUGACGCUGAGGAGCGAAAGCGUGGGGAGCAAACAGG
rnacentral:rRNA from 1 species